UGGGAAGUGGGGAGCCUCAAACCUUCUUUCUUGUUAUCCGCAGCGUGGGGGAUGCAAGAACUUCUAACGACAACAUGUCAACCUGCAGGCAUCGUUAGAAGGUCCCGUGAGUUGGGUAGGGCCGGCCUCGCAGGAAGGUGGUGACAUGUUGAAAGCCAACGAACAAGGCCGUUGUAAAGCGGUGUGUUGCAGAAUGAAAAGGAGCAGGGCCUUAAGGUUCCCAGACUGUACAAACGGUAAAUUUGGAGAUGUAAUUUUCAGGAGCUCAAGGUGGCCUCCAUAAUUUUACUACCACAACAAUCAUCCUCUGGGCUGGUAAUGACUCCUAAUCUGAACACCAGAAGACUGAAGCCCCACUUUAACAGGUUGAUAUCAGGAGCCCAUUUAAAAAGUAAUUUUCCUUUGAGUGUCCAGUUUAGUUUCUAUGUACCUAUAAAGAAGAUUGCUACUGACAAGUGAUAAUGUAAGUUCCCUGAGCAUUUUUAAUUCCUUUUCUCUCUGAGCCUUUCCUUCCAUUCUUCACAAUUCAAUACUUUUCUGACAAUUCAGAUAGAUAGAGUUUUUACACAUUCUUACCUACCUCAUGCUUGGAGCAGCAAGUAUGAUAAAGCACAAAAGAUGCCAUUAAGCUGGAAUGGAGUUGCUACAGUUGUUUAAGAUCUUUUCAGGAGCCUCCAGCUACUGCUGCAUUGUGUAUUAAGCUAAGUGCUUUCACACAAGGGCCAGGAGGUGAGUGGGGAGAUGCUACAUGAGUCCUCUACAGCCUUUUAAGGGGUGAAUACUUUUAGGACUUGUUGUUUAUCAUAGGAAUAUCAAUUUUCUUGAGGUCCUCCAUUUGGUCUAGGUUGCCUCAGCAGCAAGCUGGGUAUGAGGUGUAGAUGAUGUCAUGAGGACAUAUCCCUCAAUAACAGUUUAAAAAGUGGCAUGUGUCAUUAGUAAAAGUAUUUUGUGCCACGGCAAGACACAAGGAACCAUAAUGCUCUCUCUGCAGGGUGAAGCAAGGAGAGUGAAGAUCAUUAGUAUCUUUUUUCCUCCUGAUGUCACUUCCUCUUUCGUCAACGAGGAUGGAAGAAAGACAAAAGAAAGAAGGAACUAAGUUCCAACAAGUAAUACCCACAGAGUCCAAUGGAGGUAAAAAAGGCAAGCUGGCAGAAGUGGAAUGUACACGUACAAAAGGACAACAUAACACUUCCAUCAUCUUGCCUUUUUUUGAAACACACACGCACACACAUACUGUGGACCCUACUCAUUUGCCACAAUGUAGGUUUCUAAAUCAUCUUUCUGGUUUAACAUCCUGGUUUUUGCUUUAUGUCUUAAACUGUAGUUUCCCAUGAAAUAGCUCUAGAAGUGUCUAAUCUCUUCAUAUAUGUGAAGAAGGGGGACAUGGGGAAAGGAGAAAUGUGAGGGUGAUGUAGAUGUCCAUAACAACAAACCUAUGGUUUGCUCUUCAUGUGUCUAAGCAAAGGUAUCUCAAAUGAAUUCAGCAACGUAAGUUUAAAAUAUAAUGUGGCAUGAUCACCAAAUAGUGUUUUGAUACCUCAGAUUGUAAUGAAAAUGUCUUUUUUAAAUGGCAAAGAUUUGCUGUUUCCAUCUUUUUUUUUUUUAAUAUGGUGAAUGUGAAUGUUAUCAACACUUGUAUAUUUGUUAAGGGCACAUCUUCCUCAGAUUUCUGUUAGUUCCUUUCAAGAGUAUCUCAGUUGUGCUCCAUGGAACUCUGGGCAGCAAAUAUGAGAAAAUCUAGUCUCCCAUCUAGACACUGCCAGAUGCACAGCUGGCAGUAGUAUAACUGAACCUUGUAAUAUUUUCUUUCAAGCUAUGUUAAUUGUUUGUUCACACUUACUUGUAUAUGUAGAUUUGUUUUGUGUGCAUAGUACAGUUCAGGCAUUACACAAAUAGGGGAAUGCUGUGUAGUUCUGCCCCUGUUACCUGUUAUAUAGUUACUCCAGAAAUAUCCAUGCAUAUAGCAUGAACAACUACAGCUAGGAAGAUCCAUGUACAAUUAUACAGACUGAGGAUCACAAAUGUGAAGGAACCUUGAUAGUCCACAACUGCCUCAACAUCCCUGAUAUGUUAAAGAAGGAUUCCCUGU